rnacentral:rRNA from 1 species
CCUACGGGAGGCAGCAGUGAGGAAUAUUGGACAAUGGACGAAACUCUGAAGCAGCCAAGCCGCGUGAAGGAAGACGGCUUUCGGAUUUUAAACUUCUGUUCAUAUGGAAGAAUAGUGACGGUUGCUAAGUAGCAAGCAACGACUAACUACGUGCCAGCAGCCGCGGUAAUACGUAGGUGGCACGCUUUUUCCGGAUUUACUGGGUGUAAAGGGAGCGCAGGCGGGAAGCCAAGUCAGUUGUGAAAGCUACGGGCUUAACUUGUAGACUGCAGUUGAAACUGGUUGUCUUGAGUGAAGCAGAGGUUGGCGGAAUUCGGGGUGUAGCGGUGAAAUGCGUAGAUAUUCGGAGGAACACCGGUGGCGAAGGCGGCCAACUGGGCUUUAACUGACGCUGAGGCUCGAAAGUGUGGGGAGCAAACAGGAUUAGAUACCCGAGUAGUC